rnacentral:rRNA from 1 species
GAUGAACGCUAGCUACAGGCUUAACACAUGCAAGUCGAGGGGUAACGAGAGGAAAGCUUGCUUUCCUUGUCGACGACCGGCGCACGGGUAAGUAACGCGUAUCCAACCUGCCCCCAACUAGGGAAUAACCUUGCGAAAGUAAGACUAAUACCCUAUAAUUUCCUCAGAUGUCAUCUGACGAGGAAUAAAGAUUUAUCGGUUGUGGAUGGGGAUGCGUCUGAUUAGCUUGUUGGCGGGGUAACGGCCCACCAAGGCAACGAUCAGUAGGGGUUCUGAGAGGAAGGUCCCCCACAUUGGAACUGAGACACGGUCCAAACUCCUACGGGAGGCAGCAGUGAGGAAUAUUGGUCAAUGGGCGGAAGCCUGAACCAGCCAAGUAGCGUGCAGGAUGACGGCCCUAUGGGUUGUAAACUGCUUUUAUACAGGAAUAAAGUUAGCCACGUGUGGUUAUUUGUAGGUACCGUAUGAAUAAGGACCGGCUAAUUCCGUGCCAGCCGCCGCAGUAA